AAUCUGUUCGUAUAAUGGUAUAAUUACGCUCGACUUUGAAUCGGGAAACGAAGGUUCGAUUCCUUCACAGAUUG
rnacentral:tRNA from 1 species